UUCUCUCUCUCUCUUUCUCU
rnacentral:snRNA from 1 species